ensembl:misc_RNA 7SK 7SK RNA
UGAGGUGAUCUAGCUGCACUAUCUGUCAUUCCAUAUCACCAGGGACAAUUCAGCUGAUCUCACUGGCUAGGUAGGGGUCCCCUUCCUCCACUCCACGUGUGUCCCCACUAAAGCAACAUACUUGGUUAGAAGGAUGACCUCCCUCAAAAGAGGGCUGAUUGUCAGCCAAGGGAGAAUGAGUAGCUUCAAUCCCCUACUAGAACCUCCAAACAAGCUCUCAAACACAGAUUUGGCCAGUGGAAGCCACUUUAAGAGCUGGCUUCU